UUGUUAUUUAACGCAUCGAAUUUUAUUUGGUAAUAGCUAUCAAAUGAUACAUGUGGAGGAUGCAUCUGGUUCAUAAAUAUUUAUUCGCAAGUCUACUUUUAUUUGGCUCAGCAUCCAACGCGCAAAGAACGUGGCAAUGUGGCAUAAAUGGAUUUUGCAGGCUAACAAAUGCCAACUGUGGGAUGUUUUUUGAGUCUGUUCUAUGUCCCCAGCCCCUUAAUUGUUGCUACAUAUUUCAUUAUUAAAUUAUAUAUUUCUUAACAUUAAAA